CCUACGGGAGGCUGCAGUGGGGAAUAUUGGACAAUGGGGGCAACCCUGAUCCAGCCAUGCCGCGUGUGUGAAGAAGGCCCUCGGGUUGUAAAGCACUUUCAGUGAGGAAGAACGCCUGGUGGUUAAUACCCAUCAGGAAAGACAUCACUCACAGAAGAAGCACCGGCUAACUCCGUGCCAGCAGCCGCGGUAAUACGGAGGGUGCGAGCGUUAAUCGGAAUUACUGGGCGUAAAGCGCGCGUAGGUGGCUUGAUAAGCCGGUUGUGAAAGCCCCGGGCUCAACCUGGGAACGGCAUCCGGAACUGUCAAGCUAGAGUGCAGGAGAGGAAGGUAGAAUUGCCGGUGUAGCGGUGAAAUGCGUAGAGAUCGGGAGGAAUACCAGUGGCGAAGGAGGCCUUCUGGACUGACACUGACACUGAGGUGCGAAAGCGUGGGUAGCAAACAGGAUUAGAUACCCGUGUAGUC
rnacentral:rRNA from 1 species